UUUAAAUACAGUCAUGGUUUUUUGUGUCCAACGUUUAACCAUUCGUUUUAUUUGAAAUUGUUUUAUAAUUAGUAUUUUUAUUGUCAUUAUAAUAACAACAUAGAUAGUGCUUUAUGCGUGACUUAUUUUUUUAAAAAAAAUUAUAUUUUUCUAAAAUAAGACAGACGGUCAAAUAUUAGACACGGAAAUACUCAUGACUGCAUUUAAA
rfam:Oryza meridionalis cultivar OR44 (W2112) chromosome 12, whole genome shotgun sequence.